rnacentral:rRNA from 1 species
GAUGAACGCUGGCGGCGUGCCUAAUACAUGCAAGUCGAGCGAACGGACGAGAAGCUUGCUUCUCUGAUGUUAGCGGCGGACGGGUGAGUAACACGUGGAUAACCUACCUAUAAGACUGGGAUAACUUCGGGAAACCGUAGCUAAUACCGGAUAAUAUUUUGAACCGCAUGGUUCAAAAGUGAAAGACGGUCUUGCUGUCACUUAUAGAUGGAUCCGCGCUGCAUUAGCUAGUUGGUAAGGUAACGGCUUACCAAGGCAACGAUGCAUAGCCGACCUGAGAGGGUGAUAGGCAACAAUGGAACUGAGACACGGUCCAGACUCCUACGGGAGGCAGCAGUAGGGAAACUUCCGCAAUGGGCGAAAGCCUGACGGAGCAACGCCGCGUGAGUGAUGAAGGUCUUCGGAUCGUAAAACUCUGUUAUUAGGGAAGAACAUAUGUGUAAGUAACUGUGCACAUCUUGACGGUACCUAAUCAGAAAGCCACGGCUAACUACGUG